rnacentral:snRNA from 1 species
AGCGUCCUCAGCGACGGACCGGG